UGCUUAACAGACAUUUUUACACAAGGUGCAAGAGGAAGGAAUUAAAGUGUUUUAUCUGUGUAAAAGAAAAUCACAGAAUUUUACUAAAGUUAAAGAGCAACAAAGUCAACGUGUUUCAAAAAAGCAAUAAGUGAAAAUACAAAGUGGCGCGAAAUAUCAGAAAACUACGAUGUAUGAAGUGGCAAUGGUGUAAAAAAACAAUGAUGAUUCUAACAAGAUAAUGAUGACAACUAAAAGUUGCUAUGAAAAAAAAUUGUCUACGCAGAGAGGUUGUUCAAAGGUGUUCGAAGAGAAAGCGAGUCAAUAUUGUUGGGGAACAUUGAAAGUUGAGAUAUAGCAACAAACAGAAAGCAGUAGCUGUCGCUUCAAAUAUUGGGAGAGUUAAAAAAUCCGUAGCCACUGUUAAAAAGGAAAAAACGAAAGAACAAUAUCUUUGCAUGUUGAGAAAAUCGAGGAACAUAUUCUCCCUCAUCCUUACACACGGCAUAUGAGUGUUGUAGCAAUCGGUAUGACACGGACACGGAAGUUUUAACUCGUUGCGCGUAAUAUUCAGAGCUUAAAACGCCGAUGAAUUAAUGUAUAGGAAUAUGUACUUUUGAUGAAUUUAUAAGGAGAUAGCUCUUGAAAUAGUGAUUAAGAAAAUGACCAGUUUGUUCCGAAGAGACCAAGCUUCAUGAAAUUGGUCAAUACACAAAAAUAUUUUCGAGAAAUACCUAAACAUUUAUUUAAAAAUCGUGAGAUUUAAAAUCUUUGAAAAGUAGUAGUUUUCAAAUAUU